CAGGCAGUAGGGAUCCAGACUCAUGCAUGGACUGCUGUGCCCUUCAUUGUCUCUAACCCAAGAUUGUCCUUCUGCAGCAGGGUAUUUUGGUGUGAAGCCUGCACUAAUCACCUGGUUAGAAGGAGGAGUCCUGGGGAGGCUGCCACGAAGCCUGUUUGCCUCUGAUCUCAAGCUGGAAAUCCAUCCUUGUCCCUUCUGCUCUCUCACCUCCAGUCAGAACUUCCUCAGUCAUCACAUGAAACAAAGUCAUUCCUCUUGGAUC